UUAGUACGGCGAGUGAAGCGGCAAAAGCUCAAAUUUGAAAUCUGGUACCUUCGGUGCCCGAGUUGUAAUUUGGAGAGGGCAACUUUGGGGCCGUUCCUUGUCUAUGUUCCUUGGAACAGGACGUCAUAGAGGGUGAGAAUCCCGUGUGGCGAGGAGUGCGGUUCUUUGUAAAGUGCCUUCGAAGAGUCGAGUUGUUUGGGAAUGCAGCUCUAAGUGGGUGGUAAAUUCCAUCUAAAGCUAAAUAUUGGCGAGAGACCGAUAGCGAACAAGUACAGUGAUGGAAAGAUGAAAAGAACUUUGAAAAGAGAGUGAAAAAGUACGUGAAAUUGUUGAAAGGGAAGGGCAUUUGAUCAGACAUGGUGUUUUGUGCCCUCUGCUCCUUGUGGGUAGGGGAAUCUCGCAUUUCACUGGGCCAGCAUCAGUUUUGGUGGCAGGAUAAAUCCAUAGGAAUGUAGCUUGCCUCGGUAAGUAUUAUAGCCUGUGGGAAUACUGCCAGCUGGGACUGAGGACUGCGACGUAAGUCAAGGAUGCUGGCAUAAUGGUUAUAUGCCGCCCGUCUUGAAACACGGACCAA
rnacentral:rRNA from 1 species